CUCGGCGUCCCUCCGGGCCCCGACGGAGGUGCCGGAGAUCUUCCGGCUACAAACCCGGGCAGGUGAGGCUCGUAAGCCGUGGAAGGCAAUUCACCUAGGAGAGCAAACUCUAUACAAACCCGGGCAGGUGAGGCUCGUUAGCCGUGGUAGGCAAUUCACCUAGGAGAGCAAACUCUAAACAAACCCGGGCAGGUGAGGCUCGUUAGCCGUGGUAGGCAAUUCACCUAGGAGAGCAAACUCUAUACAAACCCGGGCAGGUGAGGCUCGUUAGCCGUGGUAGGCAAUUCACCUAGGAGAGCAAACUCUAAACAAACCCGGGCAGGUGAGGCUCGUUAGCCGUGGUAGGCAAUUCACCUAGGAGAGCAAACUCUAUACAAACCCGGGCAGGUGAGGCUCGUUAGCCGUGGUAGGCAAUUCACCUAGGAGAGCAAACUCUAUACAAACCCGGGCAGGUGGAGGUCGUUAGCCGUGGUAGGCAAUUCACCUAGGAGAGCAAACUCUAUACAAACCCGGGCAGGUGGAGGUCGUCAGCCGUGGUAGGCAAUUCACCUAGGAGAGCAAACUCCGAACAAUAAACCCGGGCAGGUGGAGGUCGUCAGCCGUGGUAGGCAGUCUGCCUAGGAGAGCAAACUCCGAACAAUAAACCCGGGCAGGUGGAGGUCGUCAGCCGUGGUAGGCAAUCUGCCUAGGAGAGCAAACUCUAAAUAAACCCGGGCUUGUGGUGCUCGUUAUACUGUCGUAGACAAUCCACGCGAUGGGAACACCAAAGAAAAGGAAAAUAAAAAAGAACACCAGAAAAAUGGAAAAUACAGAAACGAAACAUCAAGAAAAGAAACAAAAAGAUCAUCCACCUUUAGGCCCUAACAUCGCCAAAAUUAUGGGUGGGUCUCUUCUGGGGAGAAAGCGGCUCAUCCAGACCAAAGAACAUCAACAAAAGGAUGAUAUGAAUAAAUGAACAUAAAAAAAAACAAAGAAAAA